rnacentral:lncRNA from 1 species
AGCCACAUCUGAGUUAUAGCCAAGGAGGUUCCUUCUUGCUUUAAAGUGCAACGAGGCCACGGUCAGUGGUCAUCGCCACAAGGCCAGGAGAAGCCCUCGGAGCAACACUGAGUGGAGGGCAGGUUGACAUCCGAGGCCACUUGGGGUCCAAAAGUCACUUUAAAGGGGGGAGGCGGAGGAGGGGAACAAGGAACGAGGAGGCAAUUCUAAUAACCCGAAGCCUGUCUACAAAGGGUCCCCAAGUGAGAGCGGACUGAAAACUCCGUGUGACAUGGCUGCCAAACAAAGGCACUUGCACUCCCUGCGCUCAGUUCUGGGCAUCCGUUGGAGGUCAGUGAAAAUUCGAGGAUGAAGCAGAGCAGAGGGAGCUGGGGCUGUCUAGCCUGGCGAAGAGAACGCUCCAAGAAUUUGACAUGGAGAAGAGGGAUUAGUCACGUUCUACUUGUUUCCCAUGGGCAGAGCCGGGAACAGGCUAAAGCAGCAGAGAGGCAGAUUGGGGCUUGCCUGGAGACGAGUUCUGAACACUCCAAGCUAGCCAGAGUCGGGAUGUUCUCCUGGUUCUGCUCCUCUCACUCUGCAUCAGUUCCUGGAGGUCGUCCCAGUUCCCGGCAGGUUUCCUAAGGACUUGGAGCGCCUGAAAUUUCCUGACGGGAUGUCUGGCCACCUGCAGGGCAGCCAAGAGAUGGCUGGACAGAAGCUGGGGGGCCUUGGACCUGAGCGUCAUCCUUCCUCUACAAAGUGGGGGACAAUAGGACGGUUGGCUCUGAGCCUGGCAGAGGGCCCAGUGGCAUCAGUUAUGCCCAGAGAUGCCAAGGCCAUGAGCCCCUGAAGCUGCCCCAACAGAUACCCCUUGCCCACUGCCAUCCACUGAGCCAGACUGAGGCCCCCAGAAGACCUGGUGAGCUGGGGAGCCCCAUGUGGGCAUGCUAACAGGCCAGGCUGCCAGAGGCCGGAGGUGCCACGGGGAAGCAUGGGCCAAGGCCUUGCUCUCUGGCCUCCUGCCCUACUGGGGGCCUGAAUUCUUUAGGCCUUUCCCAGCUCUAAAGACACCCUGGUGGUGAUGCCCCAAGCCUGCCCCACUCUGUCAGGCUGCCAGGGCCUGGUCACUCUUGUUGGUUGGUCAGCAGGAAAUGGGCAGGCCCCAGGUCGCUGUCUACACCCUCCAGGAGAAGAGCAGCUAAGGACCCGGGCCUCCAGCUGUGGAGCUGAGAUGCUGAGAGGGGAAAGAUAGAGAGCCGACCAAGGCUGACUCAGAGGCUCUGGGUUCAAGUACUGCUUUGUCAUUUUCUCCCAGUGCCUCGGUCUCAUCCCCUGGGGGGUGGCCUGGACACCUCUUCAGCACCUGAGCCCAAACCUCAGAGGCCUCCACAGAGGCCAGGGUGUCCCCACUUGUCUUCCAAUGAUCAUCUCUCAGUUCCUCUUUGCAGUGAUUCCCCAAGUGUUUCCUUCCUGUGGGGCCAAUCCCCUUUCGGCAGCUGAUAUUUUGACUUUGGUCGGGCAGCUGCAGGGACAGUACAUAGAGUGCAAGAGUUGGAGGCAAGCAGCCCUGAGUUCAGAUCCUGCCUCAGACAUUUAGUAGCUGUGUAGUAGACCCUGGACCAGUCACUCCUCCUAUUUCCUC